rnacentral:rRNA from 1 species
UACGGAGGGUGCAAGCGUUAUCCGGAUUCACUGGGUUUAAAGGGUGCGUAGGCGGAUAGGUAAGUCCGUGGUGAAAUCCUGCAGCUUAACUGCAGAACUGCCAUGGAUACUAUCUAUCUUGAAUAUCGUGGAGGUAAGCGGAAUAUGUCAUGUAGCGGUGAAAUGCUUAGAUAUGACAUAGAACACCAAUUGCGUAGGCAGCUUACUACACGAUGAUUGACGCUGAGGCACGAAAGCGUGGGGAGCAAACAGG